rnacentral:lncRNA from 11 species
GCAGCGGGCAGUGGGGCUGAUGGGCCACGAUCCCCACUGGGGCGCAUUGGGGCUUUGGCUGGCUCUUGCUGAAGAACAGGAGGGGCCUGGGUGGCCAAGCCCCGCCCCACACCCCGCCCUCUGGCUGAGCAGCGGCUCUCCUCUUCCUCUGUUUCAGAUCAGUUACAGUUACAGAAAAAUGGAAUCCUGUACGAGGCACUUUAUAUGAUACGGGAUUUCGCUUCUGAAUUUGAUCCAGAAAGUGCAGAAAAGUCUGAUGUGGAAAUUGUGGCUAUAGCUCAGAACCUCUCAAACGAGCUCAACAUGAUGGUGGACAAGACUGAAGUACUGCAAGCAGAAAUCGACCACCUGCUCCUCGACCUGCCCGAGUGGAUUGCCCACAAUACCAACCUCUUCUACUUUGACACCGACACGGCCGACUUUGCCGGUGCCAUUGAAAAAUGUGCCGAGAGGGGGGCGAAUCUGACUUCACUCAAAUUUCCUGAAGAAGUGGUGAGUUGAGCAGGAGGAGGUGGACCAGCAUCCACCCACCAAUUGCAGAGAAGCAAAAGUAUUCAAAUUCAUA